AAAAAACAACUUUUUAAAAUCCUUUAUAUUUCCAAAAUCCAUCAUAAACCAGACACUAAUCAAAGGUUUCAAACAUAAAAAACAAACAACAUAUUCAAGUGCUUUUCCUCUUACAUUCAUUCCUUCCACAUAUUCUUCUCUCUCUCUCUCUCUCUCUCUCUCUCUCUCUCUCUCUCUCUCUCUCUCUCUGCAUAAUCAAUUACACCCAUCAUCCUUCCUUUACCCACGCCUGCUUAAUUUGUGGCGCAUGCUAUGCCUCAUUUUGCCUAUGUUUGAAUUUUCUGUAACACUCUCUGACUUCUCCACUAUCUCUUUUUUAUAA